ACUACUCCCCCAUUUUUUCUAUCUCUCUGUUUCCUCUCGUCUCCCUUUACCCCUCAAACCCUAACAUUGUUUCCGCCUCCUUUCUCAACCUUAAAAUCGUUUACGCAAAACCCUUGAAAUCUCUAUAACUCUUUCUCUGUGUUACUUCAUUACUUUUGCAUUUGAUUUGAAGACGUCGUCGCAUAAACAUGAAGCUUUUUAUGCAACAAAAUACAUUCUUCCAGAGUUCACAGUUGAAGCUUUGAAUAAGAACUACAUGCUUCUCCGACUGUUUGAUGCGGCUCCGACUGUGCAGACAGAUAAUAUAAAUCAAGGUGACUGCUUCAGGUGUAAACACUUCAUCAAAAACCUUAUCACAAACCAAACAUCACUGGUCCCCAUGCCUUUAUUUUUUUUGGAGUCCUGACUGCCUCAGAAUUCCCUUCUUCCUCGGGUAAAAUCUUGGAUAUGCAAGGUUGUCUUAAACAAAGAUGAUGAACUAUCAAAGGAAAAUAACAACAAACCAACUCCUGCUGAAGAAGUUGCUCAAGCUGCAAAAUCAGCAGCAACUGCAGUUGCAAAUGUGGCAAAAGCAAGCCAAGAUAUGCUGGCUUCAAAUGGUGUGAAGAUGGGUUUAAUGGAACUUUAAUUUGCAUGAUAUAUUUGUUUUGUUUUGACACCUCUACUCUUACGGGCCUUAAUUUAUUAUGAAAGUAUUUAGUAUUUAAAUAUUUGAAGUUAUUGUUUGCUUAUUAGUGAUAUUUGACAUUUUGAAUGACUUUUUUUGGCAGUAUUUUGGACUUAAGGAAGAUCAAAUAUCUCUAUUUGUUAUUCACCAGAUUGAUGGCAAUAAAUUUUUCAAAUCAAACUUGAAACCAGAUCACCUUGCAGCUUGGGUGAAAGGAAUACAAGGUAGAGCUCAGUUCCCUUAGUAGCUUAUUGUAUUUGCUGCUUUAAUUCAAGACCUUUAUUUCUGCAGAGGGAGGACACCUCCUGUGCCCGAAAACCUCAAGCUCAAUCUACGAGCUUGAAAACGAUCACUUGAAGACCAAGAUGAUUUGAUAUGAAAUUCAACUCCCUUGUGAUGGGAAAGAAGUGACCGUAUGAUAAAUAAUUGUAGCACCCAAAACAGCCAAAAAGAACAAAAAUGUGCAUAACAGAUUCAUUCAUACAUGUUUGUGGCAGACAUACAUGAUAUUCUUAGCAAAGCUGAAGAAGCCCCAUUUUUCACCCGGUCCAGAAUCAUCAGAAUGUCAACUUUUUUCACUUGAUGAUAUACCUUUUAAUUUUCUAUCCUUUUUAUCAAUGUUGUUUUUAUUUGACUUUUUUCCCUGAUGCUGUUUGGACCUCU